rnacentral:lncRNA from 1 species
GAUCGAGGAUUAAAAAUGGGCCAAUGAAUCGAGGAUUGAGCUUUUCUCUCUUUCCAAAUCUCGUAACUCCUUUCCAUGGAGCAACACGUAACAACACAUGAUCUCCAAUAUCGAAUUCCACGUCCUUUCGAUGAAGAUCAGCAUAACUCUUUAGUCGAUCUUGUGAGGUUUUUAUACAUUGUCGGAUCGUUUAAAUCUAUUCUGUAGUCAUACGUACCAACUCUGAUCCCAACAACGUUGCUUCACCCAUCUCAUCCCAGCAUAUUGGAGAACGAAACUUUCUUCCAUACAACGCCUCAAAUGGAGC